rnacentral:rRNA from 1 species
UACGGAGGAUCCAAGCGUUAUCCGGAAUCAUUGGGUUUAAAGGGUCCGUAGGCGGCCCGAUAAGUCAGUGGUGAAAUCUCCCGGCUCAACCGGGAAAUGGCCAUUGAUACUGUCGGGCUUGAAUUAUUAGGAAGUAACUAGAAUAUGUAGUGUAGCGGUGAAAUGCUUAGAUAUUACAUGGAAUACCAAUUGCGAAGGCAGGUUACUACUAAUGGAUUGACGCUGAUGGACGAAAGCGUGGUAGCGAACAGG